rnacentral:rRNA from 1 species
CCUACGGGAGGCAGCAGUGAGGAAUAUUGGUCAAUGGGCGAGAGCCUGAACCAGCCAAGUCGCGUGAAGGAUGAAGGAUCUAUGGUUUGUAAACUUCUUUUAUAUGGGAAUAAAGUGAGGAACGUGUUCCUUUUUGUAUGUACCAUAUGAAUAAGCAUCGGCUAACCCCGUGCCAGCAGCCGCGGUAAUACGGAGGAUGCGAGCGUUGUCCGGAUUUAUUGGGUUUAAAGGGUGCGUAGGUGGUUAAUUAAGUCAGCGGUGAAAGUUUGUGGCUCAACCAUAAAAUUGCCGUUGAAACUGGUUGACUUGAGUAUAUUUGAGGUAGGCGGAAUGCGUGGUGUAGCGGUGAAAUGCAUAGAUAUCACGCAGAACUCCGAUUGCGAAGGCAGCUUACUAGACUAUAACUGACGCUGAGGCACGAAAGCGUGGGGAGCAAACAGGAUUAGAUACCCCAGUAGUC